AUGGAGAGGAAACUGGGAGCUGUGCUGGGGAUUCUGUGGUUGUGGACUUGCUGUGUGAGAGGAGUUGAGGUGGAGCAGAGUCCUCCAGCCCUGAGUCUCCAUGAGGGAACCAGUUCUGCUCUGAGAUGCAAUUUUUCUACCACCAUGCAAAGUGUGCAAUGGUUCCAGCAGAAUCCCGGGGGCAGCCUCAUCAAUCUUUUUUACCUGGCUUCAGGAACAAAGGAGAAUGGGAGGUUAAAGUCAACAUUCAACUCCAAGGAGCGCUACAGCACCCUGCACAUCAGAGAUGCCCAGCUGGAGGACUCAGGCACCUACCUCUGUACUACUGAUGCACAGUGCUCCCAGCAAGCCUGCAGCCUGGCCCCAAACUGCAGCUGGGUGUGCAGCUACAGCCCUGCCCCAGGGAGACUCUACAGGAGGCCUUUCACAGCUGUGUCUUUAUCAGAUCUCCACCAAUUACAGAGAAGUUGUGAGGAAACCCAAAAUUACCACAGCAGAAAUUCAUGGCUAAAUUCAGAUUGA